AUGUACAUCCCUACAACAUAGCGUUAAUGCACUGGAUCCCAUUAGAACUCCGUAGUUAAGUGCGCUCAGGCUAGAGUAGUACUAGGAUGGGUGACCACCUGGGAAGUCCUAGUGUCUUACAUG
rfam:Picea glauca, whole genome shotgun sequence.